rnacentral:rRNA from 1 species
AUGGCCUCUCGUGUCUCCCUCUCGGGCUCGCUCUCGUCGGGGUCCGGCUUCUCGUCCUCGGCUCCCCCGGCGAAUCUGGCGCUCCCAUCUCCCCUGCCACCACCUCCUCGCCCUGAUCUCCCCCCGUCUUCCUUGAUGCGGCCGCGUCCCCUGAUACGCUCCAUCAUCGUGCCACCAGUCCUGGGCACGGCCUUCGGCCCGAUUGUCCAAGGGGAGACGGGUGGUCCGUCGCGUGUCCCUGUUCCGCGCCGGGCGGAGGAUGCCUGGCACACCAAGGUGCGCCGCCGCCCGCGGGCUCCGCCUUGCCGGGAUCGGCUUCCAAGGCGCCGCCUUCCGCCCGGUCGGCCUCGUGUGCUGUCGGCCCCUCGUCCGCCGCCCUUCUCGCGGCUUCCGGUGGAGCUACAUGGUUGCUGCUACAACUGCGGAAGCGACGGACACAUCUCGGCGGACUGCUCAAACCCGCCCUUCUGCGUGCGUUGCCGCGGAGUCGGUCACAUCUCGCGCGGGUGUACUAGGCCGCGUAGCCCUUCUCCGGUGGAUCAGCCUGUGCAGCCGCCUGCUCUGCGCCGUCGGGUGGAGGAGGCCGCUCCCCCGUCGCCUCGGCACUCAGCCACCUCGCAGUCGCUUCCCCCACCGCCGCCCGGCCCUCCUCCUCCAGGUGUCGUUCGGCUUUGGAGUGAUCUGGUGCGGGAGCCAGCCCAGGGCUCGCUGCAGGCCGCCGGGGCGACUGCUGGGCCGGAGUUCUCGGUGCCUUUCGGUCAGCACGCGCCGGUGCGGCCUGCGGCGGUGCGUGCUCAGGCGGAGCAGGAGGACCUGGUGGAGGCCUCUGAAGACAUAUGGCAGAUGGAUCUGGCGUCGGCGACGGAGGCCUUGCAUGCCGCGUUUGAUAUCGGUCCGGCGGAUAUGUCCAUCCGGUCAUACUUCCCUGAUGAUUUCCUCGUGUUGUGCCGGGAUGGGGCGAUCCGUGAUAGGAUGGUCCGCGCAGGACACGCGCACUCCUCAUGGUUCGAGCUCAACCUCAGGCCAUGGAACAGGCAGGCGCAUGCAACGGCGGCUUCGCUGCCUUUCCUGGUCCCGAUCGCCCUGCGCGGUGUGUAG